rnacentral:misc_RNA from 1 species
UCUCCGUAGGUGAACCUGCGGAGGGAUCAUUACCGAGUGAGGGCUCACGCCCGACCUCCAACCCUUUGUAAUCCAUACCAUGUUGCCUCGGGGGCGACCCUGCCGGCACUUCGUCGCCGGGCGCCCCCGGAGGUCUUCUAAACACUGCAUCUUUGCGUCGGAGUUUAAAACAAAUUAAACAAAACUUUCAACAACGGAUCUCUUGGUUCUGGCAUCGAUGAAGAACGCAGC